rnacentral:rRNA from 1 species
GACGAACGCUGGCGGCGUGCUUAACACAUGCAAGUCGAACGGAGAUUAUUAAUGAAGCUUGCGAUUUAAUAAUCUUAGUGGCGGACGGGUGAGUAACGCGUGGGCAACCUACCCAUAAGCGGGGGAUAACAGUUGGAAACGACUGCUAAUACCGCAUAAGCUAUUAAGGUCGCAUGACCAUAAUAGUAAAGGUGGCAUUUAACAGUGCUAUCACUUAUGGAUGGGCCCGCGUCUGAUUAGCUAGUUGGUGGGGUAGCGGCCUACCAAGGCAACGAUCAGUAGCCGGCCUGAGAGGGUGGACGGCCACACUGGGACUGAGACACGGCCCAGACUCCUACGGGAGGCAGCAGUGGGGAAUAUUGCGCAAUGGGGGAAACCCUGACGCAGCGACGCCGCGUGAGCGAAGAAGGCCUUAGGGUCGUAAAGCUCUGUUGUAAGGGACGAAUGUUUAUCUGGCGAAUAGUCAGAUAAAGUGACGGUACCUUACCAGCAAGCCCCGGCUAACUACGUG